GGAGAUAUAGCUUAAGUAAAGCAUAGACUUUCAUUCUAAGAUAAAGGUUCAAAUCCUUUUAUCUCCACAA
rnacentral:tRNA from 1 species